CCUACGGGUGGCAGCAGUGAGGAAUAUUGGUCAAUGGGCGGAAGCCUGAACCAGCCAAGUAGCGUGCGGGAUGAAGGCCCUACGGGUCGUAAACCGCUUUUGCACGGGGAUAACACCCCCACCUGGUGGAGGCUUCCAGUUCCCGUCGGAUUAAGGGCGGCUAAUUCCGUGCCAGCAACCGCGGUAAUACGGGAGGCCCGAGCGUUAAUCGGAUUCAUUGGGCUUAAAGGGAGCGUAGGCGGGCGUUCAAGUCAGCUGUAAAAUCGCGCGGCUCAACCGCGCCCCGCAGUUGAAACUGGACGCCUUGAGUUCACAACAGGCAGGCGGAAUUCGUGGUGUAGCGGUGAAAUGCAUAGAUAUCACGAGGAACCCCGAUUGCGAAGGCAGCCUGCCGGGGUGCGACUGACGCUGAGGCUCGAAGGUGCGGGUAUCAAACAGGAUUAGAUACCCUUGUAGUC
rnacentral:rRNA from 1 species